UACGUAGGCAGCGAGCGUUGUUCGGAGUUACUGGGCGUAAAGAGUGCGUAGGCGGUUUUCUAAGUUUGGUGUGAAAUCUCCCGGCUCAACUGGGAGGGUGCGCCGAAGACUGGAAGGCUAGAGUAUGGGAGAGGUAAGCGGAAUCCCUGGUGUAGCGGUGAAAUGCGUAGAUAUCAGGAGGAACACCUGCGGUGUAGACGGCUUUCUGGACCGUAACUGACGCUGAGACACGAAAGCGUGGGUAGCAAACAGG
rnacentral:rRNA from 1 species